rnacentral:lncRNA from 1 species
UUUGGCAUGGUUUUGUACCACUGAGGAAAUUUAGGAUGUUUGUAUCAAUUAUUUGCUAAUAGAUACAUUUUUAGCAUUAGAGAAAUCCAGCUUGUGACUUGUGACUUUGACGCUUGGAGAUCCAAAGAAACCUCCUCGAGAGCUCUGAAGACAAUCCCCCUUGUUUAUUGCCUCAAUUCAUAGGCCUUGAUUAGUGUUGGGUCUUUCUCUUCUCAAUCUUUUUGUAAAUGACCUCAUCUUGCUACUUUCUUUUGUUGGCCACUGGUAGCAAUGAGAAGGCAAACUUUUGUCAAGCCUUCCCACCCAUUUCUUUUAACAUGUGGGCUUUGUUUUGUCUUUUGCUAAAAUCUUGCUUUGGCUGUUGCAAAUUCCUUCCCAUCUUGUUUGUCUUUUCGUUUAUACCCUAGUGGAACAAGUGUAGCACAUCUUGUUUCACGAACCAAAUUUUACAACGAGUGACCUCUGUUGAUUUCCCUUAAUUUCU